UGAUCCACAGGUGAACAUUAUAUUUAUUAUCUUUCUACCAAUCAAUUCUUCUUAUGUUUCAAUGUCAUCGUUCUAGCAUUAUUUAUGGCUUCUACCAGUAGUCUAGUAUUACCUGCUCGAGAAACCCAACAAUACAAAACAAUACAAAGUCUAAAAUCGGAACAUGCGACGCAUUAAAGAUGCCUUUAAGAUUUUAUGUUUCAAUUUUGAAUUUUGUUCGAGGGACUGUUGUCUGAAAAUCAACUGGUGCUGAAUAACAAAAAUAAAAAUUGAGCACAAAAUAUUUGACACAGUCGUAAUAAAAGUAAUUUGCUAGUUUAAGAUGACUAUAUAUCUGUUGUUACUACGAAGAAAGUUGAAAAAA